AUUGAACGCUGGCGGCAUGCUUUACACAUGCAAGUCGAACGGCAGCACGGGGGCAACCCUGGUGGCGAGUGGCGAACGGGUGAGUAAUGCAUCGGAACGUGCCCUGUCGUGGGGGAUAACACAUCGAAAGAUGUGCUAAUACCGCAUACGACCUGAGGGUGAAAGCGGGGGACCGUAAGGCCUCGCGCGAUAGGAGCGGCCGAUGUCUGAUUAGCUAGUUGGUGGGGUAAAGGCCUACCAAGGCGACGAUCAGUAGCUGGUCUGAGAGGACGACCAGCCACACUGGGACUGAGACACGGCCCAGACUCCUACGGGAGGCAGCAGUGGGGAAUUUUGGACAAUGGGGGCAACCCUGAUCCAGCCAUGCCGCGUGCGGGAAGAAGGCCUUCGGGUUGUAAACCGCUUUUGGCAGGAACGAAACGGUGCGGGCGAAUACCCUGUGCUAAUGACGGUACCUGCAGAAUAAGCACCGGCUAACUACGUGCCAGCAGCCGCCGUAAAAC
rnacentral:rRNA from 1 species